UCUUAUCUUGGAGGGCCACCGCAGGAUGAAUACGUUCAUAUAUUUAGAAAACGUUUGUCUUUCUUUAGGAAAAUUCAGUGAACUAGUUGUAUGACCAAGCAAAGAGUAGAUUUUAUCAAGAUCAUCAGCAGGCAUAUUGUGUCACAUAAGGCAUAUCCAAGCUUGUCAAAUAUUCAAUAGAUAUUAAAUAAGUGGCAUACCUAAUAACCUCAGGAUAAG
rnacentral:lncRNA from 1 species